AUUGAACGCUGGCGGCAGGCCUAACACAUGCAAGUCGAACGAGUGACGGACGGGUGAGUAAUGUCUGGGUACCUGCCCGAUGGAGAGGGAUACCCACUGGAAACGGUAGCUCAUACCGCAUACCAUCGGAUGUGCCCCGAUGGGAUUAGCUUGUAGGUGAGGUAACGGCUCACCUAGGCGACGAUCCCUAGCUGGUCUGAGAGGAUGACCAGCCACACUGGAACUGAGACACGGUCCAGACUCCUACGGGAGGCAGCAGUGGGGAAUAUUGCACAAUGGGCGCAAGCCUGAUGCAGCCAUGCCGCGUGUAUGAAGAAGGCCUUCGGGUUGUAAAGUACUUUCAGCGGGGAGGCGGUACCCGCAGAAGAAGCACCGGCUAACUCCGUGCCAGCAGCCGCGGUAAUAC
rnacentral:rRNA from 1 species